CACAAGUCAGCGGAGUACUCUGGGGGCUGAUCAAGGGUAGAUGACAAGUGAUUGCAGUUCUGGCUGCUGUACCCAGACUUGAUGAUUGGAGAGGUGACAAGGGACAGGAGCAGAGACCCAAGUUCUCAACUUGCCUCAGCCCUGACCUUGCCAAGUGAUUUAAGUCACCGUUUGCUAGCUCCCUGUCUGUGAAGCAGGGACAAUGCUAGCUUUCUCUACAAAGAAGGGAAUAUCCUCAUCAGCUCCAUUCUCCAGCUCUGGAAAUGAAGCCCAGAGAGGAAAGUAUUUUGUGGACAUCAAACUACUAACUGUAGAGCUGGGGCUUAAACCCAGGUUCAUCUGAUUCCCAAGUUCACCCUGUCCAGCAUGCUCUGACGUCUCAUGUCAUGAGUCACUUCCCU